ensembl:lncRNA
AUGGAUCCUAAUACCACUGACAGCAAACCUGACUUCCAGAUGUCAGAGGAAGAAGAUUCUAUUCCAAAUGUUAAAAGAUCUCUAAAAAGGAAACUGGUGAAACACAGCACUCCAGUGAACUCAACGUUCUCAAGAAAAACACUGUCUCCCUCAGGUCCAAUGAAUUGGUCAGUUAAGGACCAAGAUAUCAGUAAGAGAUCUUAUGUAUCCCCAGUGCCAAAAUCAACUCUAGGAAGAUCAGUAGCUCAACCAUCACUAGCAAGUGUUGAAACAUACUUCCCUUAUAUGUCUCCAAAGAGGUUUUCAUCAGUAUUUGACUUGCAAGAUUCCAGCAGAGAGAUAAGCCAAAGUUCUCGAGUUGUGUAUUCUAGAAGACGACUUUCCACUGUGUUGGCAUCUGAUGAAUCAAAUGAAGAGGCAACUGAGAAGGCUGUCUCAAGUGUGGAAACUCAAACUCCCACAGAAGCGUCUGAAAAGUCUGCAGUAACUCCCAAGAGUGGAUCUUCACAGUUUUUUGGAAUACCAGGAAUAAAAGAUCCUCCAGUGUUGAAAAAGAAGAAAAUUGAUAAAGCUAUUGUGGUAAUUAUAUUCUCCGUAUACUGUGAAAUAACAUAUAAUUUUGUGCUAAUACUGUGUUUACACAUACUUCUAGUAAUAGAGGAACAUUCUGGUUAUACAACAUCUCUACAACUUUAUCAGUAAGAAUGUAUCAGUAUGAACUGGGUCAUAACUACUUAGAUUCUGUGAAACUACCCCUAACUAGACUAGAUGUAGAUUACUGACCUGGUAUUUAAUUUAGUUUCUGUACUUGCAUGUCAAUAUAUGAAUGCUACUGUAGAAGUAGUUUUUGUGUGUUUUGCUUUUUUUUUUUUUUCCUCUGUAUGAGGAACUUAAAAAUGGGAAUAGAUUAGUGGCUUAAACUGGAAAAAUUCUUCAAUUUCUUUGUUUCAGAUUUAACUAAAAUGAAAAAAAGGAAAAAAAAAAAAAAAAGAAACAAUCUACCGCUUGGCAUGUUUAAUUGAAAUCAAAAUGCUUUAUAGAAAGAAUCAUUGCUAAUGUUGGUUUUGUGUACAAUCCUUCAAUUAGUGUAAGGUAUCCUGGGGAAAGCUUAGAUUAGUAGUCCUUAUACAGGUGGUCUAGUUUGAUUAAUAUGGAGAUUAAAAUCAGAGAUCUCAGCUUCCUGCAGCUUUAAUUAUCAGCAUGGACUCUGUGGAAAGUCCACAAGAAGGAAAAUAAGGCAAUGGAUUUAGAGUCUAAAGGCUGUCAUGUUAGUGUGGAAACCAUCAAGAUCUGUUUUCUUGGAUUUAUUUCUGGGUUUUAUUAUUUAUUUUUUUCCUUCUCUAUAUUGUUCACAAGUAUAUUGAAAGCUCAGGAGUAUCUGCCCACUCUGAGAGUUAAAGCUUCUUAGCUUAAAACAAAUUAAAAUGUUGAGCCCAAAUCUAGCUGUGUGGGGUUGUUUGUUUUUCUUCCUUUUUUUUAAGGCAUAUGAAGUCUAAACAGGUCAGACUGACUAUUUCUUUUUCUAUAACAGAGAAAGAAACAAAGAGAAUGGGUGCUUCGCCAACUUAAAAACAUUGAGGAAGCAACUAAACAUGAAUUAACAAUUGAAGAAGCUUGAUUAAGCAUGUUUGAAAAUAACGCGCUUCGUGCUUAUUUUGUGAGUAGCAGAUUCCAAUAAAGUGCACAUCUGACUAAUCUGCA